rnacentral:rRNA from 1 species
CCUGAAACCGUAUGUCUACAAAGUGUCAGAGCAGAGCAAUCUGCGAUGGCGUGCCUUUUGUUUAAUGAGUCUGCGAGUCAGUGUUUGUGGCAAGACUAAGGGCUUCCGGCCCGGAGUCGCAGCGAAAGCAAGUCCGAAUAGGGCGAAUUAAGUCGCAGGUACUGGACCCGAAGCGGAGGUGACCUACCCUUGGCCAGGUUGAAGCAUGGGUAAAACCAUGUGGAGGACCGAACAGGUGAACGUUGAAAAGUUCUCUGAUGAGCUGAGGGUAGGAGUGAAAGGCUAAUCAAACCCCGUGAUAGCUGGUUCUCUUCGAAAUGCAUUUAGGUGCAGCGUCACGUGCUGAUGCGCGGGGGUAGAGCACUGACAAGGCUAGGGGGCACACCCGCUUACCAAACCUUAUCAAACUCCGAAUACCGUGCAAUGGAACGUGGCAGUGAGACAGUGGGGGAUAAGCUUCAUUGUCGAGAGGGAAACAACCCAGACCAGCAGCUAAGGUGCCUAAAUAACGCUCAGUGGAAAGGAUGUGGGAUUACACAGACAGUGAGGAUGUUGGCUUAGAAGCAGCCACCAUUUAAAAAAUGCGUAAUAGCUUACUCAUCGAGUGAUCCUGCGCCGAAAAUGAUUGGCGAUCAAGCGUUAUACCGAAGCUCUGGACUUUACCUUACGGUAGAGUGGUAGAAGAGCGUUGCAUGCGCGUUGAAGGGUGAUGGCGACUGACCCUGGAGCACAUGCAAGUGAGUAUGCAGACAUGAGUAACGUAAAGCCGGGUGAAAUCCCCGGCCGCCGUAAACCCGAGGUUUCCAGGGCAACGUGUUUCGUCCCUGGGUUAGCCGGGACCUAAGCCGAGGCCGAGAGGCGUAGGCGAUGGAUAUCAGGUUAAUAAUCCUGAGCUCGCGACCCUUAAACUGGGGGGACGCAUGAGAAAAGAUGACUAGGUUAUUGAAUUCCGAGUUGAGUCCACGGACUCAGCGCAUCAUUGGAUCGAGUGCCAAGAAAAGCCCCAGCGUAUGCUAAGCGACCCGUACCGCAAACCGACACAGGUGGGUGGGUAGAAUAUACCAAGGCGUAAGAGUGAAACCUGGUUAAGGAACUCGGCAAAUUAGCCCCGUAACUUCGGAAGAAGGGGUGCCUGCAGCGAUGCAGGCCGCAGAGAAAUGGCCCAACCGACUGUUUAUCAAAAACACAGCACUCUGCAAAGACGCAAGUCGAAGUAUAGGGUGUGACACGUGACCAAUGCCGAAAGAUUAAGGCAAGGGGUUAGCCGCAAGGCGAAGCUCUGAACCCAAGUCCCGGUGAAUGUCGGCCGUAACUAUAACGGUCCUAAGGUAGCGAAAUUCCUUGUCGGGUAAGUUCCGACCUGCACGAAUCGUGAAACGAGUUGGGCACUGUCUCAACCAGGCGCUCAGUGAAAUUGUAGUGGCGGUGAAGAUGCCGCCUACCCGCAGAAGGACGGAGAGACCCUAUAGACCUUAACUGUAAGCUGUCAUUGUUUCUUCGGUUUUAAUGCUCAGAGUAAGUGGGAGACGCUGAAGACGCCCUUUAGGGGGCGUCGGAGUCAUCAAUGAGACACCACCCUUUGAAACUGGAGGAUCUAACCCUGAGCCGUGAAUCCGGCCAGAGGACCGUGUCAGCCGGUCAGUUUUACUGGGGCGGUAUCCUCCCAAAGAGUAACGGAGGAGCGCGAAGGUGGGCUCAGCCCGGUUGGCAACCGGGUGUCGAGUGCAUGGGCAUAAGCCCGCCUAACUGUGAGACCAACAAGUCGAGCAGAUGCGAAAGCAGGCCCAAGUGAUCCGGCGGUAGAAAGUGGAAUUGCCGUCGCUCAACGGAUAAAAGGUACCUUAGGGAUAACAGGCUGAUCACGCCCAAGAGUUCAUAUCGACGGCGUGGUUUGGCACCUCGAUGUCGGCUCGUCGCAUCCUGGGGCUGGAGAAGGUCCCAAGGGUCCGGC